rnacentral:rRNA from 1 species
UACGUAGGGGGCAAGCGUUGUCCGGAUUUAUUGGGCGUAAAGAGCGUGUAGGCGGCCAAACAGGUCAGCUGUGAAAACUCGAGGCUCAACCUCGAGACGUCGGUUGAAACCGUUUGGCUAGAGUCCGGAAGAGGAGAGUGGAAUUCCCGGUGUAGCGGUGAAAUGCGCAGAUAUCGGGAAGAACACCCGUGGCGAAGGCGGCUCUCUGGGACGGUACUGACGCUGAGGCGCGAAAGCUAGGGGAGCAAACAGG